UCAGCAUUUAACUCAGAUGUUGAACGUGAAGGAUAACGUUGCGUCAGCAACGGCCCGUAGGGCGAGGUGAAGCCGAGUCAUCCUGCACGACCCACCA
rnacentral:sRNA from 1 species